rnacentral:rRNA from 1 species
GUACCGUGAGGGAAAGAUGAAAAGAACUUUGAAAAGAGAGUUAAACAGUACGUGAAAUUGUUGAAAGGGAAACGAUUGAAGUCAGUCAUACCAACGGGAAAUCAACCUUUUGAGCUUGGUCUCGUGGGUUUUGAAAAGUUUCAAAGCCUUCGGAUUCGCGGGAUUGGGAUCUCUUGGGUACUUUUUCGUACGGUUAGUCAACAUCGGUUUUGAAUGUCAUAAAAUGACUGGAGGAAUGUAGCUUCAAUCUCGUAUUGAAGUGUUAUAGCCUUUGGUAGAUGUGAUGUUUGAGACCGAGGAUUGCAACGGAUACCCUUCAGGGCUAUUCGUCUGAUCUCUGAUACGUUGCCUUGAUGUUGAAAGCUUGCUUAUGAUGUUAGGGUAUUACGGUCAAAAGGUUAAAACGAAUUACAUUCGUUAAGG